UGGGGAAUAUUGCACAAUGGGCGCAAGCCUGAUGCAGCCAUGCCGCGUGUGUGAAGAAGGCCUUCGGGUUGUAAAGCACUUUCAGCGAGGAGGAAGGGUAGUGUGUUAAUAGCACAUUGCAUUGACGUUACUCGCAGAAGAAGCACCGGCUAACUCCGUGCCAGCAGCCGCGGUAAUACGGAGGGUGCAAGCGUUAAUCGGAAUUACUGGGCGUAAAGCGCACGCAGGCGGUUUGUUAAGUCAGAUGUGAAAUCCCCGCGCUUAACGUGGGAACUGCAUUUGAAACUGGCAAGCUAGAGUCUUGUAGAGGGGGGUAGAAUUCCAGGUGUAGCGGUGAAAUGCGUAGAGAUCUGGAGGAAUACCGGUGGCGAAGGCGGCCCCCUGGACAAAGACUGACGCUCAGGUGCGAAAGCGUGGGGAGCAAAACAGGAUUAGAUACCCUGGUAGUCCACGCUGUAAACGAUGUCGACUUGGAGGUUGUGCCCUUGAGGCGUGGCUUCCGGAGCUAACGCGUUAAGUCGACCGCCUGGGGGAGUACGGCCGCAAGGUU
rnacentral:rRNA from 1 species